rnacentral:rRNA from 1 species
GUUAUAUGGUCAAGUGAAGAAGCGCAUACGGUGGAUGCCUUGGCAGUCAGAGGCGAUGAAAGACGUGGUAGCCUGCGAAAAGCUUCGGGGAGUCGGCAAACAGACUUUGAUCCGGAGAUGUCUGAAUGGGGGAACCCAGCCAUCAUAAGAUGGUUAUCUUACGCUGAAUACAUAGGCGUAAGAGGCGAACCAGGGGAACUGAAACAUCUAAGUACCCUGAGGAAAAGAAAUCAACCGAGAUUCCCUUAGUAGUGGCGAGCGAACGGGGACUAGCCCUUAAGUGGCUUUGAGAUUAGCGGAACGCUCUGGAAAGUGCGGCCAUAGUGGGUGAUAGCCCUGUACGCGAAAAUCUCUUAGUCAUGAAAUCGAGUAGGACGGAGCACGAGAAACUUUGUCUGAAUAUGGGGGGACCAUCCUCCAAGGCUAAAUACUACUGACUGACCGAUAGUGAACUAGUACCGUGAGGGAAAGGCGAAAAGAACCCCGGAGAGGGGAGUGAAAUAGAUCCUGAAACCGUAUGCGUACAAGCAGUGGGAGCCCACUUUGUUGGGUGACUGCGUACCUUUUGUAUAAUGGGUCAGCGACUUAUUUUCAGUGGCGAGCUUAACCGAAUAGGGGAGGCGUAGCGAAAGCGAGUCUUAAUAGGGCGUCUAGUCGCUGGGAAUAGACCCGAAACCGGGCGAUCUAUCCAUGGGCAGGUUGAAGGUUGGGUAACACUAACUGGAGGACCGAACCGACUACCGUUGAAAAGUUAGCGGAUGACCUGUGGAUCGGAGUGAAAGGCUAAUCAAGCUCGGAGAUAGCUGGUUCUCCUCGAAAGCUAUUUAGGUAGCGCCUCAUGUAUCACUGUAGGGGGUAGAGCACUGUUUCGGCUAGGGGGUCAUCCCGACUUACCAAACCGAUGCAAACUCCGAAUACCUACAAGUGCCGAGCAUGGGAGACACACGGCGGGUGCUAACGUCCGUCGUGAAAAGGGAAACAACCCAGACCGUCAGCUAAGGUCCCAAAGUUAUGGUUAAGUGGGAAACGAUGUGGGAAGGCUUAGACAGCUAGGAGGUUGGCUUAGAAGCAGCCACCCUUUAAAGAAAGCGUAAUAGCUCACUAGUCGAGUCGGCCUGCGCGGAAGAUGUAACGGGGCUCAAACCAUACACCGAAGCUACGGGUAUCACGUAAGUGAUGCGGUAGAGGAGCGUUCUGUAAGCCUGUGAAGGUGAGUUGAGAAGCUUGCUGGAGGUAUCAGAAGUGCGAAUGCUGACAUGAGUAACGACAAUGGGUGUGAAAAACACCCACGCCGAAAGACCAAGGUUUCCUGCGCAACGUUAAUCGACGCAGGGUUAGUCGGUCCCUAAGGCGAGGCUGAAAAGCGUAGUCGAUGGAAAACAGGUUAAUAUUCCUGUACUUCUGGUUAUUGCGAUGGAGGGACGGAGAAGGCUAGGCCAGCUUGGCGUUGGUUGUCCAAGUUUAAGGUGGUAGGCUGGAAUCUUAGGUAAAUCCGGGAUUCUAAGGCCGAGAGCUGAUGACGAGCUAACUUUUAGUUAGCGAAGUGGUUGAUGCCAUGCUUCCAAGAAAAGCUUCUAAGCUUCAGGUAACCAGGAACCGUACCCCAAACCGACACAGGUGGUUGGGUAGAGAAUACCAAGGCGCUUGAGAGAACUCGGGUGAAGGAACUAGGCAAAAUGGCACCGUAACUUCGGGAGAAGGUGCGCCGGUGAGGGUGAAGGACUUGCUCCGUAAGCUCAUGCCGGUCGAAGAUACCAGGCCGCUGCGACUGUUUAUUAAAAACACAGCACUCUGCAAACACGAAAGUGGACGUAUAGGGUGUGACGCCUGCCCGGUGCCGGAAGGUUAAUUGAUGGGGUUAGCUAACGCGAAGCUCUUGAUCGAAGCCCCGGUAAACGGCGGCCGUAACUAUAACGGUCCUAAGGUAGCGAAAUUCCUUGUCGGGUAAGUUCCGACCUGCACGAAUGGCGUAACGAUGGCGGCGCUGUCUCCACCCGAGACUCAGUGAAAUUGAAAUCGCUGUGAAGAUGCAGUGUAUCCGCGGCUAGACGGAAAGACCCCGUGAACCUUUACUAUAGCUUUGCACUGGACUUUGAAUUUGCUUGUGUAGGAUAGGUGGGAGGCUUUGAAGCGUGGACGCCAGUCUGCGUGGAGCCAACCUUGAAAUACCACCCUGGCAACUUUGAGGUUCUAACUCAGGUCCGUUAUCCGGAUCGAGGACAGUGUAUGGUGGGUAGUUUGACUGGGGCGGUCUCCUCCUAAAGAGUAACGGAGGAGUACGAAGGUGCGCUCAGACCGGUCGGAAAUCGGUCGUAGAGUAUAAAGGCAAAAGCGCGCUUGACUGCGAGACAGACACGUCGAGCAGGUACGAAAGUAGGUCUUAGUGAUCCGGUGGUUCUGUAUGGAAGGGCCAUCGCUCAACGGAUAAAAGGUACUCCGGGGAUAACAGGCUGAUACCGCCCAAGAGUUCAUAUCGACGGCGGUGUUUGGCACCUCGAUGUCGGCUCAUCACAUCCUGGGGCUGAAGCCGGUCCCAAGGGUAUGGCUGUUCGCCAUUUAAAGUGGUACGCGAGCUGGGUUUAGAACGUCGUGAGACAGUUCGGUCCCUAUCUGCCGUGGACGUUUGAGAUUUGAGAGGGGCUGCUCCUAGUACGAGAGGACCGGAGUGGACGAACCUCUGGUGUUCCGGUUGUCACGCCAGUGGCAUUGCCGGGUAGCUAUGUUCGGAAUAGAUAACCGCUGAAAGCAUCUAAGCGGGAAACUAGCCUCAAGAUGAGAUCUCACUGG